rnacentral:rRNA from 1 species
GACGAACGCUGGCGGCGGGCUUAACACAUGCAAGUCGAACGGAAAGGCCCUGCUUUUGUGGGGUGCUCGAGUGGCGAACGGGUGAGUAACACGUGAGUAACCUGCCCUUGACUUUGGGAUAACUUCAGGAAACUGGGGCUAAUACCGGAUAGGAGCUCCUGCUGCAUGGAGGGGGUUGGAAAGUUUCGGCGGUUGGGGAUGGACUCGCGGCUUAUCAGCUUGUUGGUUGGGUAGUGGCUUACCAAGGCUUUGACGGGUAGCCGGCCUGAGAGGGUGACCGGCCUCAUGGGGACUGAGAUACGGCCCAGACUGCUACGGGAGGCAGCAGGGGGGAAUAUUGCACAAUGGGCGGAAGCCUGAUGCAGCAACGCCGCGUGCGGGAUGACGGCCUUCGGGUUGUAAACCGCUUUCGCCUGUGACGAAGCGUGAGUGACGGUAAUGGGUAAAGAAGCACCGGCUAACUACGUG